ACAUGAAGUGUUGUCAUACAGCCACCUAUGACAACACUUAAAUUUAAAAAAAAACUAUUGCAUCGACUUAAAUUAUUUCCCUCCCCAAUUUUUCACCAAGUGCGCCACAAUUCAAUGAAAUAUAUAUCAAAAAUUAAAGAAAAUUAAAUAAAUGGUACUGAUCGACUUUGGGUUCUCGACAAAACUUGGGUUAACAAAGAAAAGUUUCAACCGACUGCUUCAAAUUGGACACUAUGGAUCUCCAAUCUUCAAAUCAGUGGUCCAAAUUUUAAAAUCAGUGCUUUGAAUCUUCAAAUUAGUGCUCUAGUGCAUUUGAAAAUUAACAAAAAUUUCACACCAGUGCCAACUGCAUCUCAAAUCGGUGAUCCGAUCGACUGCUCCGACUAUCCGCUCCGACCACCAUUGAUUCGAUCGUCUACUGCUCUGACUACGACUGCUCCGACCGCUUUCGAUUGAACCCUAGCCUUCUAUUGAAAUAGAUCAGACUUGAACAAUCAUGAAUCAAGAAGGGUGUUCAAGAAAUCACCAGAAAGUUAAGAGCUUUGUUUCAGCUGGAUCAAGGUCUGUCUUUUUUUCUUCUUCUCGUCCUUUCUUCUUCUUCUUCUUUUAUUGGCAGCAGUAGAUAAAAAACCUUGUUGUUGUUGUUUGGGUAUAGUUGGUAGCCAGUAAGGACAAUGUUUUUCUUGACAUGUUUAUUCCAAGAGGGAUGCAUCCCUAUGAUAGCCAGUGAGCGUUUCACUGCAAUGUGUGAACCUCUUGUAACAAUGUGGCAGGAGGUACUCUCUGAUUCUCACUGUAAUUUUAUCUUUUAUGCUAGUAAUAGAUUUUCAUUUUCAACUCUUUCCCUUUGUUAUGUUUAAGAUAUACAUGGCUUGAUCUGGAAUGCGAUUAAUGUAGAGUUAUAUCAAGUACUUUAUGUUCUGGAUGACAGUUUACAGAAGAUGUUCAUUACAGAUUGGAAAUGAGUGAUAAUUCCGUUGUUCAAAAAUUCCAAAAGUUUGGCUAGACAUUACCAUUUUAAAAGAUGUGUUAUGGAUAUUCAAUUUAAGAUCAACUUAUAGUUUCCAUAUUAAUGUUACAGUUUUCGUGAGAAUAUGAUGAAUCUCUAGCUGCAAUGCCAUAUAAAGAGAUUACAGCAGAGAUUCGUCAUUCUCUUUGCCUGAAUUUUUUGAUGAAGUUCAAGAAGUGAUUCGACCAGUUCUUGAAGCUUACUUCAAAGUAAGUAUGCACAAGCUCACUAAAGUUUAUGGGCAGAUUUACACUAUUCUUAAUAUGGGGUGAAAAUGGGAGAGGUAGAAGGAAGGUAGGAGCAGGGCUACAAGCCGGGUCCAUGUUCAGCCGAAUCCAGUAGUUUUGGCUCAAACAUUGUAUUUUUUUAGGAAAUUUAUCUAAUAUUCAAAAUUAUUAUUUUAUGAUACGGGACAAAUGACCAUCUUAUCUUUUGAUGACAU